rnacentral:lncRNA from 1 species
AAGCUAUGUGCUACUAAUACCACUAGAGAAAAGGGAUGGCGAAGACAAAAUGACAGCUAAUUUUCUUAACUUUAUUAAUAGUUGUCUUGAUAUCUAACGGAGUGACGGUUGCCAUUAGGUGUGAUUGCUUGCGCGUAGAUGUAAAAUCUUUGUGACUGCGUGAUUGUCAAGAUGUCUAUCUUGAGUAACGUUAGUGCAAUUGAAUGUCGGCAAAGACAUUCGGUUAAGUUGUCUCUCCCUUUCUCUAACUAGACUCGGCAUUAGAUAGAAGAUGGCUGGCACUAUGAAAAUCUGCAUGAAUAUGAUAGAACUUUGGGUAGUAGAAAUUAGAAAGGUCAACACUGAUUCAUCACUCCAAAUCAUUCUUGUUUCAUAAUACAAUUACAAAAAAAGGGUAGAGAAUAAGUUGAUCAUGCUGAGGUUUAUUCUAAGUUGAUUCUGAGCGGACAGGGAUUCAAGCAGGAUUUAACAUAGGACCACUUAUAUGGCAACUCAUUAGUAACAUGAGGCCGAAGGAA